CCCUUAACUAUUAAAAGUUUCGUUUUGGUCCCUUAACUUAUUUUUUGGUUUCGUUUUGGUCCCUUAACUCUUCCUCCGUCAACCACUUUGGUCCUUUAUGCUAGGAUGAAUGUAUUAGAGUUAAGGGACCAAAACGAAACCAAAAAAUAAGUUAAGGGACCAAAACGAAACCAAAAAAUAAGUUAAGGGACCAAAACGAAACAAAAAAAUAAGUUAAGGAACCAAAACGAAACUUUUAAUAGUUAAGGGA
rnacentral:pre_miRNA from 1 species